ACAAUCCCCUAGGUAAUCUGUCUCUGUGUCCCUUCCACACAAUCCCCUAGGUAAUCUGUCUCUGUGUCCCUUCCACACAAUCCCCUAGGUAAUCUGUCUGUGUGUCCCUUCCUAACCAACCCCCUAGGUAAUCUGUCUCUUUGUCCCGUCUCUACAAUCCCCUAGGCAAUCUGUCUCUGUGUCCCUUCCACACAAUCCCCUAGGUAAUCUGUCUCUGUGUCCCUUCCACACAAUCCCCUAGGUAAUCUGUCUCUGUGUCCCUUCCACCCAAUCCCCUAGGUAAUCUGUCUCUGUGUCCCUUCCCUACAAUCCCCUAGGUAAUCUGUCUCUGUGUCAUUUCCACACAAUCCCCUAGGUAAUCUGUUUCUGGGUCCCUUCCACACAAUCCCCUAGGUAAUCUGACUCUGUGUCCCUUCCCUAUAAUCCCCUAGGUAAUUUGUCUCUGUGUCCCUUCCAC